CAGUAGCCGCGGUAAUACGAAGGGGGCUAGCGUUGCUCGGAAUGACUGGGCGUAAAGGGCGCGUAGGCGGCGGCCAAAGUCAGGCGUGUAAUUCCCGGGCUCAACCUGGGGGCUGCGUUUGAUACUUGGUUGCUUGAGUGGGGAAGAGGGUCGUGGAAUUCCCAGUGUAGAGGUGAAAUUCGUAGAUAUUGGGAAGAACACCGGUGGCGAAGGCGGCGACCUGGUCCUUUACUGACGCUGAGGCGCGAAAGCGUGGGGAGCAAACAGGAUUAGAUACCCGUGUAGUCCCUGUCUCUUAUAC
rnacentral:rRNA from 1 species